rnacentral:lncRNA from 1 species
AUGGAGGAGGAGGAUGAUGAAGAUGGAGGACAGGAGCACCAGUAUCCACAGCAUCCUGAGGAGGAAACAUCAACAGAGGACAGAGACUUCUAUUCACCAAAACAAUACAGGAGCACCAGCAUCCACAGCAUCCUGAGGAGGAAACAUUACCAGAGGACAGAAAGACUUCUAUUCACCAAAACAAUCAAUAGUUUUGCUUCAGAGGAGAAUCCGACAGUUCCAGAUGUUCGUCACCAGCACUGCAGUGUUUACACAGACUGCUUUGGUUUCAACUUUCUACAAAAAACUGUUGAAUUUUCAACUCACUUUCCAUCUGAAUCCAAGCUCAUCUUCAUCACUGGGAUGUUUCUUCAUCAGUUCUUCGUACAGACUGACACAGCUCACACAUGGAGAAGAUGAUUUAUGGAAUAUGACAUUUAGAUUUUUCCUUUUCUCAACAGUAUGAUGCAUACAUCCCAACCCAAAUUUCAUGCAUUUUUUUGGCUUAACUUGAGCCAAUUUCCAUCAAUAAAUUGCUAAUGUAUUAUUAUUAUUGACUAUUA